UAGUAUCUAUGGUCGAAGUAUCCUGUCUAAUUUAAUUUUCGCGUUUUAUCUUUCCGGUUUUUCCGUACUGGUUAUCUCACAGCCCACGGCAGAGUGCUUUGUCUUGCUAUAAGAUCUUUGGUUUAGGUGGUUUCUUUGAUUCUUUCAGUGUGUGUGUGUGUAGGCAGGUGCAACGUCAUAGUUUAGCGGAAUUUUCUGUGUGACAUUCUCCAGGUAGAGAUUCCAAAAUGAUGAUGCUUACUAUAAACUGAAUACACAUCCAUGAAUGAAUACAGAUGAAGGAAGUUUCAAGACUGUAGUACUAAAGCAAUGGACCAGGAGCCAGCUAUGUGGAUAAAAAAAGAGGGAACGGCCGAAGUGAAAACAGAGUUAUACUUCAUGGCCCAAGUUUACCCACACAACAUGAAUAUAAAAGAAGAGUUGGAGGAGGGUGUGAAUAAAGAGUCCAUUGAAGAUCCAUUGGGAAUAUCGUGGUCCACUGAUUUUAUCAAGGAGGAUCCUGAAUUAAAUUUGGAAAUGAGUGUAACUGAGAAUAUUGUGGAAACCUCAACAGGAUAUGCAUCUGAUAGUACAAGGAAAAUAAAAGUUCAGAUGAUAUGUCAGCAGCUGUGGUGUGCUUAAUGCACAUCACCACAUGAAAAUCACUGAAAUUCAACCGAUUCAUCUUGAUGGACACAAGCUAAUGUCAUACUGCAGUAGAACAAGUAAGAAGAAAGGAUUGACUCAGUGUGCUGGUGGGUGCUGUGACAUACCAUGUGAAGAAACUAGUCGCCAUAGAGUGGUCCAGGAUGAGUUGGUGAUAGACAUGAAGUCAACACAUGAGUUUGGUACCAAUACAAAAGAUAUGACUGUUGAUAAGAACUGCUCAGUUGCCACACAAUAUAACUGUAGUACGAGGGAAAAGGAAUUAUAUGUAUAUAGCUGUAA
rnacentral:misc_RNA from 1 species